CUUGCUCGUCUAGGGGAAGAAAAAAAACAAAAACCUCUGAAGGGAAAUUGCUGGAACUGAAGCUGCUGGUUAUUGUCACUCCUUUUGAGAUAAGGGAAAAGGACUAUGAAAGUUGAACUCCCUCCUCCUUUCCCAAAUGAAGGAGGAUUGCAAAGGAAGAAGCCAAUGAAUAGCUUUGUGGCACCUAGAUGACUACAGAGAUGAAGGCCCUCCAGGGGCUGACUGUUGGGGAUAGCAGGAAAAGGAAUCAUUUUCCUGGUCCUCCGGGGAAGCUGAGGAAGAUGGAGACAAGUGCAGCAAAAGAUAGAAGGCUCACUGUCAGAUCACCAGCCCCAUUUCACUCUUCUUCUUUCUGAAGGCUGGAGAAUGGGCAGGAAACAUCGCAGCAGGAGACGAACGUUGGACCUGCCAAAUAGAAGAAGGAAGCCCCAUUCCCCACCAACUUUCCUCUUCCUCUUCCCUCAAGGUACAAGUGCAGUAGCAGAUAUAAGGCCUGAGGUCAAAGGCUUCUCUUUGCACCAGGGGAGCAAACUUUGUCAAGUUUGGGAGACCAGAUGAGAGUUAGCUCGUGCUGGCACAGAAUCAGGUUGGCCCAGCCCGGCUUCUUGCUGCACUUCCUUGGAGGACCCAGGCAGCAGGGGAUGGAAGGUGGGCAGUCAGAAGAACAUCGGCCUCCUCUUCUCAUCUAAGGCUGUAGUUAGUGCAGCAGGAGGCACCAGGGGAAGCUGCUCUGGGGCACACGGAAGUCUCCUGCUGAGCCCCUUGCUGUCUUUCCUCAGAGGAUGUGAUGUGCGCAGGUCUUUAUCUCUAUAAACUCCCCUUUGGCUGUCAUCUUUCACACUGCUUGCACUGUUCUUCCUUAGGCAUGUCACUCUUUUGCUCAAAUACUUCACUGGCUCCCUACUGCCAACUAAGUAAUCAAGGCCCUCCACAAUCUGGUACUACUCAGCCUUUUCAGCCUUCUAUUGUGUUUCUCCCCUCCAUGUACUAUUCUGCUUUAGCCACAAUGUACUACUGCCUAUUCCCCAAAUAUCUGCUCACUUUCCUGUGGCCCUGAUUUCACUCACUCUGUGCCUGGAAUGCCCUCCCCCCUCCCACUUCAUUUACCUUUGAACCCUUACCUAUUCUGUAAAACAACUCAAAUAUCUCUUCCUCUAGAAAGCUUUUCUUGGUUUCUUAAGUAAUGCCCUUCCCCCCUUUCAUUUAUCCCUUUCAUUUCUUUUUAUAUAUUAUUUUGUAUUGUAGUUGUUUUCGUAUGAGUCAUAUCUCCCCUACUAUAUUGCAAGCUUCACAGGCAUAAGAACUUAUCUAAACUUUGUAUCUCUCCCCAUAUCUAGCAUCCCACUAUGCACAUAGUGGGUGUUUAAUAAAUGACUAUUGAAAUGCUGAAUUGAAUU